AUUGAACGCUGGCGGCAUGCUUUACACAUGCAAGUCGAACGGUAACAGGCCGCAAGGUGCUGACGAGUGGCGAACGGGUGAGUAAUGCAUCGGAACGUGCGCAGUCGUGGGGGAUAACGCAGCGAAAGCUGUGCUAAUACCGCAUACGAUCUGUGGAUGAAAGCGGGGGACCGUAAGGCCUCGCGCGAUUGGAGCGGCCGAUGUCAGAUUAGGUAGUUGGUGGGGUAAAGGCCCACCAAGCCAACGAUCUGUAGCUGGUCUGAGAGGACGACCAGCCACACUGGGACUGAGACACGGCCCAGACUCCUACGGGAGGCAGCAGUGGGGAAUUUUGGACAAUGGGCGCAAGCCUGAUCCAGCAAUGCCGCGUGCAGGAAGAAGGCCUUCGGGUUGUAAACUGCUUUUGUACGGAACGAAACGGUCUGGGUUAAUACCUCGGGCUAAUGACGGUACCGAAAGAAUAAGCACCGGCUAACUACGUGCCAGCAGCCGCGGUAAGAC
rnacentral:rRNA from 1 species